UGGGGAAUAUUGGACAAUGGGCGAAAGCCUGUUCCAGCCAUGCCGCGUGUGUGAAGAAGGUCUUCGGAUUGUAAAGCACUUUAAGUUGGGAGGAAGGGCAUUAACCUAAUACGUUAGUGUUUUGACGUUACCGACAGAAUAAGCACCGGCUAACUCUGUGCCAGCAGCCGCGGUAAUACAGAGGGUGCAAGCGUUAAUCGGAAUUACUGGGCGUAAAGCGCGCGUAGGUGGUUUGUUAAGUUGGAUGUGAAAUCCCCGGGCUCAACCUGGGAACUGCAUUCAAAACUGACUGACUAGAGUAUGGUAGAGGGUGGUGGAAUUUCCUGUGUAGCGGUGAAAUGCGUAGAUAUAGGAAGGAACACCAGUGGCGAAGGCGACCACCUGGACUAAUACUGACACUGAGGUGCGAAAGCGUGGGGAGCAAACA
rnacentral:rRNA from 1 species